CUGAAACUGCCUUCGGGCUGGAAAGAGAGCCAUGCGUUCAUCAGUAAUCAGUUGAAUGACUUUCAACAACUAUGUACAUUGGAAAGAACACAACAGAACCAGUGCACAAUUGCUUCCUCUUCAGAAGUGACUUUUGGAAGCAGCAGAAUUCUCAAGACUGUCAGUUACAUCUGCACUGACUCAUGCAAAUGGCAUGCACCAGCAACACAAACAAAGCGACAGAAUUUGAAUUUAAAUUGCAAUUGCUAAAGAUUUGCCAAAGUUCCAAGCCCAGGCUCAUGAAAUGGACUGUUGUACUUCCAAAUAUCUCUAAACUACUCUUCCCCCUCACCCUUCCAACAGUCAUCUUUCAUCUCCUUUCAUACAAUGGAGGAUGUUCAUCAGAAUUUGAUGCAAUUAAAACCAGGUCUUCCGCCACCAAGGACAAACAGCAAAUGGAAAAUGUGAGAGAAUCCCAUAAGAUCAUUUUGCUUCACAGGGGGAAAAAAAGCAAUCAUUCUCUUCUUUCAGAAUUCUUACAUCUUUGCUUUCUAUUCAAAGUGAUGUUCCAAGUUAGGGAUGGGGGAGGGGAAGCUGGGGUAGGAAUUAAAACUCUAGCAUUUCUUUUCCCACCCUCCCUAGUCCCACAGACUUAUGGGAGAGAAGGAAAUAAAUCUGCGAACAAUUGGUUAGAUUAGAUAAAAAAAUUAAAAUAAAGCCCUGUUUUCUGCUGAUAUACUUGACUGCUUGAAUUCUCUUCCCUCUCUCAACUCAUCAAAAGUCACAACAGCAACAAAACUAAAAAAUAAUUCUUUUGCAUAAGCGAUCCUAGUUUAUAUAAUUCUUUCUGGUUCUUUAACAUAAUCUUUCUCCUGGCUUACUUAUUGGGAGCUAGGCCUUUGAGAGGGAUUUGAAAAAGAGCCUGUUUUCUUUUUAACAAGCAUGAUUCCGAUAAGCUACUUGAAAUGUUGGGUUUUGGGGUUUCCUCCCCCCAUGAAAAUCUGUGGGGGACAUGAUUAAAUUAUAACCUUGAAGAUAGCAAUAUUAGCUCAUAUGCUGAAUAGCAGUGUCAAACAGAAACCUUUGAAACACAGAGAAGCACUUCCUAGUGGCAACAGCUAUUCAACAAAGCAGCAGAUUACUGUGAGAGAUGAUGGAUUCUCAUUUUCAGCAGAAACUGGAGGUGAGGAAGAGGUCAUCGCUUUCCAGUUCAUUUAGCAUCUCAUUCUAAGGACUUGGGAGGAAGAAGUGAAGCAAACAAGCAAGAAAAUAUUUUAUUGACUGAUAAAAUGGUUUGCCCAGGAACGUGCUCUUCUGAUCUGUAACAGAAGCUUCGGAACUCAGGAACUGAAACAGCAAACAGGAUGGAGUUGACGGUUAUAUUUAUAGUCUCUUUACCUCUGCUUGUUUAAAGUAUAAAUGGAACUACCAUUCCAUGCUAAAGCCAACAGGACUAAGACUCCCUUGGUGUAUCAAAUCUGCUUCCCUUGAGGGAAAAAAAAAUAAAAAAGCUUUUGCUUCUGUAUUUUGCAGCUAAACUAGCAGGAUUCUCCGUUGCUUUCUAGUGAGACAAAGCUGCCAUUCCCCAGUUUACAAUAAGUACUAUUAUGUACACAUGUACAAUAUAUUCUAUUAUUCUUUGUUCCAAAUUAAUUGAACACGUAUCAUGUUCAGUGCUCUCACUUCCACUAUUCAUCUUUCAAGAACAACAACAAAAAAAAGUAACAUCAACAUGAAGACUCAAAAGAUCAAUCCUCAUUUAUAAUCUAUACUAGGAUUUCUCAAACUGUCAACAUCUGGUGAUGAUUUUGUCUCGAUUAAAAUAUUUAGCCAUUUACUUAAAAGGGAAAGUUUGUGCCAAUUUAUGUACCUUUUUUAAUGAUUUGCCUUUUGCAUGCAUAGCCUAGUUUUGCUCUGGCAAGUGCUCAAGGUGGCUAGCAAAAUUUAAAACAAAUUUUAAUACUAAAAAAUAGAAAAUGUAUGUUAGAACAUCAAUAAAACUAUUGCUGAAAUCAUACUAACAAUUCAAAUCCUGGCAAAACAGCUGAGAGAGAAGGGAUUAAGGACAUCUCCCAAGGGAAUGCCAGAAAGAUGAGACUUAAACCGUAAGUUCCAAAAGGUCCUUUCCUGUUGACCUUAACAACUGCAUAGCUUCAAAGCAGGAGACACAAACUGGUAGAAAGGUCAGAACCUAAGCUACUUAGGGAUUAAAAAGUCAACGCCAACACCUUAUAUUGGGCCCAAUAGCCAACUACCAACCAGCGCAAAUCUUUCAGUACAGGUGCUGUGUAGUCCUUGCACCUUGCAUAGAUAGCAGCCUAACUAAAUAUGAGAUGGUUUAUAAAUGAACAAAUGAACUAUUCUUUUUGUCUUUUAUUAAGGUGUGGAGAGAAAAGCCUCUCUUUCAAGGAGGCACUAAUAAUUUCUCUUGACUAGCUAAUCUUUUGGAUGAUUCAGCCAACCAAAAAUAUGGAAGUCAAAUAUCUACAUGCCCUCUCUACAAUCCUCAACUUUCUACAUAUACUCCCCAAUGCUCACAUCUUUGAUGUCUGCAUCCCCAAAAGAAUCCAUUAUAGCUGAAUGAGCAGCUACCAAAGUUAGAUCCUUAUGGAGUGCAUCAACUCUGAAGACCAAAUUUAGAUAGAACCGUGCCACAAAAAAAAAAAAAAAAAGACACAAUAUUUUCAGAGUUUGCUCCCAACUAUUCCAGUUCUCUCCCUCAACAAUCUGCUGGAGAAAAUGCUGCACCUUGCUGAAAGCCAAAGAUGAUGCACAACAGAGAAACGCAAUGCUGCCCUAUUGUAUGUGGAUGCAACAGAGGAAAAUAUCUAAGUCUUCUUGACUGGCAAGUAAUUUGACUGGGUUUUCAUUAUUCCAUUCACAAUUAACUGUCUCAAAAUUUAUUCCACUUGGUUACACUGAUACUCCCCAUCCAAGUUCAACUCCUUAAUAAACUAAAUAAACUUAAUAAACUCGUUCCCACCCUCUGGAACGAGCUUCCCCCAGGACUUCGCCAACUUCCCGACCUCCGAACCUUUCGCCGCGAGCUUAAGACACAUCUAUUUAUUUGCGCAGGACUCGACUAGAUUUUAAAUUCAAAUUGGUUUUAAUGGGGAUUUUAUUAUUUUUAUUAUCAUUUUAAUUAUUCGGCCAAUUAUAAUAAGUUUUUUAAUGGAUGUUUUAUUUGUAUUUAUAUGUAUGUUUUUAUCUGGUUGUGAACCGCCCUGAGUCCCUAGGGAGAUAGGGCGGUAUAAAAAUAUGAAAAAUAAAAUAAAUAAAUAAAUAAAAUAAAUAAAGGACCUGACCUACCUUCCCAAAAGGGAAUAGGGUGCCUAGGAUUAAUGCUAUUAAUAUUCUGAAAAUCAGGAAAUAUUACUAACAAAAGUUGUAAGAAAUUGCCCAAGCAUAUCAUCACGUUCAAGCAAUUGAGCAAUUGCAUCAAGCAAUUUAACAUUUCUCUUCUCUCACACAGUUUUAUCCUGGCCAGGAAUCAGGAUUCACGCAUCAAGAAGUGAUCUGUCAAUGACAACAGAGACACAAGAUUCCUCUAAUGGACAGAAUUUUUAUAUACUCAUUCAGACAGGCAAAUCUUGAUACCUCAGAUUUUGGGGACCUCCAAAAAUGCUACCAAUUAGUAAUGUUUAUUGUGAGAUCCAGAUAACUGCAGACAAAAUAGACUCUCUACCUGCAGGGAAUUACCAACUUCUGCACAUGGUGAUAUGGGGGAAAAUAAUAAGUUUUGUAUGUGCAAUCAAGCUUUUAAAAGACAUCUUGCUUUUCAGUUUUUUUUUAAAAAAACCCCCAAAGCAGUUGCAGGAAAGAAAAUGCCGAAAUCUUCAAUGAGAAAGAUGAUACACAGUUUAAAGAUGCUGAAAUUUAUAGAAUAGGCUAGAAUGGUUAGGAUACAACAAAAAUUUAUAAAAGGCAUGGAAGCAGAAAAAAAUGGAGAACAUAAUAAUGAAGUGGGAGUGUAAGAUCUUUCAGGACAUGAGAUGUGCCCAUAUAAAAAGAAGCGAAGCAAAAAUAUUCAUUUAAUUACAACAUCAGAAAAAGACUCAUAAAAACUUCGCUCUGCAAAAAUUGGAAUACACCAACCAUCAUGCUUAUCAAGCAAUGCCCAACGCUAUAUGCUUUGGUACUAAAAUAUGUGAUCAUAUGUUUGACAAGAAUUUGACUGGCAUGAAAGGCACAUUUCAAAACUGAAAUGGUGUUCAAAUUCUACAUCAAUAAUGUGUUUUAUAUCUAUCACUUUUUUAAAAACUAGCAUUCCUUUUCAUCAUAAUGAGUAAUGAAAGUCCAAAGACUAUGCAUUUAGCUACUGUUUUAUAUAUGCAUAAAUCAAAAAAUGUAAAGAGCAUGAUUUAAAUGUUCUGCAUAUUUUUAAAUGGCUGACAAAAGUUAAAGUGCUACACCAUGGUUCCUAAUAAAUUGCUCUUGUUCUGGCAAAUGAGAUCUAAAAUUUCACACUGCAGCUUUCAGACACUGAAACUGAGAAAAAAAUACAUAUCUCAGAUAAGAAAAAUGUAUCACCUACUUCUGUAAAUUCAUUUGGUACAGCAAUUCUACUGCCACCUAGUGCAAUCUAGACACAAUCAACAUUUAUAAAUAGGAAGUGAAGGGUAUAUCUCUUCUAACAAAGAGAAGGACUAAGGAUGACAUGAUAUCAAUCCUUCAAUAUUUGAGGGGCUGUUAAAGAGAAGAAGGGUUCAAUCUAUUCUCCAAAGCACCUGAGGGCAUAACAAGAAGUAAUAAGAUGGAAAAUUAUCAAGACAUACAAUCAAGAAUUUAGGAGAAAUUUUCUGUCAGUGAGAAAAAGUAAUCAGUGGAACGAUUUGAUUGUAGAAGCUGUGGGCAGUCCAUCACUGGGAGGUUUUUAAGAAGAAAUUGGACAAUCAUUUAUCCAGAAUGAUUGGAUUAUACGGUCUCCUGCUUAGGCAGGGGGUUGAAACAGAAGACCUGCAAGAUUCCUUCCAACUGUUAUUCUGACAUAGCGUUCAUUUUAUGUUUGAAAUUGUGGAAAUUAUGUUAAUUAUAAUUAUGUUAUAAUUAAUGAAUUACUCAUUACAUUCUGUCACGUGCCUAUCUGCUUUCUUCCUGUGCUUCAAAAUAAAUAACCGGACCCAUCUUGCAAAGGAAAAGGCACAAAAACAGUAUUAGCUUUCAAAAGAGGCAACCAUUUCUAUUUGAAUGCCUGUGAGAAUUCCAAUGUAUUCACAUUUGAAAAACAUAGCCAUAGUUCGUCAGAAAGAGUUAUAAAUUGAAGGUUGCAGCAAUGGGA